rnacentral:lncRNA from 1 species
UCAAUGGUUGAGUCAAUUGGUUGAUACUAACUCACUGAUAUAUACGUUUUUUACUCCAGUUUCUUUGAUAUCCUAAGUUUGUUAAAAAUAAUAAUUCACUAUACUGUUUAUAAGAUGAUUAUUUAGGAGACUAUUGAAGGAGGUGAUUCAAACAAUAAGGAUUGAUUGACAGGCUCCAAGAAGUAAAUUAGUGAGAAAAAGAUCUGCCGAAAGUUUGCAUCCAGUGACUGUUGUUGAGCAUGAUGUAAGCGAUGCAUCCACUACUAAGAGUCCUAAAAUGCCAUUUAUCAAGAUUGAAGAUUCAAAGUGAUUAUGGAGCAUGAUUUGGCAAUAUCACUUAUUAUUUUCUGUCUUCAAUGGAAUCAUUUCGGCUAUGUAAUGAUUUGUUGAUUUUAUCAGUUUCCUAUUAUUUCAUCUUAUUUCCUUUAUGGUCUGUCAUAUUUUA